UGUUAGCAACAAGGCUGUUUAUUUCACCUGGGUGCAGGCGGGCUGAGUCCGAAAAGAGAGUCAGCCAAGGGAGAUAAAGGUGGGGCUGUUUUAUAGGAUUUGGGUAGAUAAAGGAAAAUUACAGUCAAAGGGGGCUGUUCUCUGGCGGGCAGGAGUGGGGGUCACAAUGUACUCAGUGGGGGAGCUUUUGAGCCAGGAUGAGCCAGGAGAAGGAAUUUCACAAGACAAUGUCAUCAGUUAAGGCACGAACAGGUCAUUUUCACUUCUUUCGUGGUGGAAUGUCAUCAGUUAAGGCAGGAACCGGCCAUCUGGAUGUGUACGUGCAGGUCACAGGGGAUAUGAUGGCUUAGCUUGAGCUCAGAGGCCUGACAUUCCUGUCUUCUUAUAUUAAUAAGAAAAAUAAAACGAAAUAGUGGUAAAGUGUUGGGACGGUGAAAAUUUUGGGGGGUGGUGUGGAGAGAUAAUGGACGAUGUUUCUCAGGGCUGCUUCGAGCGGGAUUAGGGGCGGCGUGGGAACCUAGAGUGGGAGAGAUUAAGCUGAAGGAAGUUUUUGUGGUAAGGGGUGAUAUUGUGGGGUUGUUAGAAGAAACAUUUGUCAUUUAGAAUUAUUGGUGAUGGCCUGGAUACAGUUUUGUAUGAAUUGAAAAACUAAACGGAAUAAGAGAAGGAGAAAACAGGUAUUAAAGGACUAAGAAUUGGGAGGACCUAGGACAUCUAAUUAGAGAGUGCCUAAGGAGGUUCAGCAUAGCCUUGCCAGUAAAGAUUAUUUAUUUACUUCAAGAGUUUAGAGUGGCAGUUUGGGGAUAGCACCAGGAGAUAUCAGCUGUGAUGUCUUGGAGAAACAGUGUAAACCGGCAGUGUAAACAAGAGCAGGGCAUGUAUGAGUAGUUGAGAACGGUGAAUAGGAGUAUGACUAGACAGAAGAUAGUAGGGAUGACAAGUUUUUUGGGGCACAGUCUAAGUUGGUCUGGUGUCUGGAAUGAGACUGGGGCCUAAUAAAAAGGAGCGUCUAUACAGGAGCUCAAAUGGGCUGUACCCUGUAGCAUUCUGAGCACAGGUCUGACUUCUGAGAAGGAAAAGUGGUAAAAGUAUUGUCCAGUCCUUUUUAAGCUGGUGGCUGAGCUUGGUGAGGUGUGUUUUUAAAAGACCUUUAGUCCGUUCUACUUUUCCUGAAGACGGAGGACCGUAAGGGACAUAAAGGUUUCCUUGAAUACUAAGAGCCUGAAAAACUGCUUGGCUGAUUUGACUAAUAAAGGCUGGUCUGUUAUCAGACUGUAUAGAGGUGGGAAGGCUAAACUGAGGAAUUAUGUCUGACAGAAGGGAAGAAAUGACUGCGGUGGCCUUCUCAGACCCUGUAGGAAAGGCCUGUACCUAUCCAGUGAAAGUGUCUACCUAGACUAAGAGGUAUUUUAGUUAUCUGACUCGGGGCAUGUUGAGUAAAGCUAAUUUGCCAGUCCUGGGUGGGGGCAAAUCCUCGAGCUUAAUGUGUAGGGAAGGGAGGGGGCCUGAAUAAUCCCUGAGGAGUAGUAGAAUAGCAGACGGAACACUGAGAAGUUAUUUCCUUGAUGAUAGAUUUCCACAAUGGAAAGAAAAUGAGGAGAGAUUCUAAGAGGCAGGCUAGUGGCUUGUACUAUAGCAUAGCCUGCCUUUGCUGGUGUGUGGCGAUUAGGCCUGGUGGAACUGCCAUCAAUAAAUCAAGCGUGAUCGGGGGAGGAACAGGAAAGAAGGAAAUAUGGGGAAAUGGGGUGAAUGUCAGGUGGAUCAGAGAGAUACAGUCAUGGGGGUCAGGUGUGGUAUCAGGAAUAAUGUGGGAGGCCGGAUUGAAGUCUGGGCCAGGAACAAUGGUAAUUGUGGGACUUAACAAAGAGUGAGUACAGCUGAAGGAGCCGGGGAGCAGAAAGUAUAUGCAUCAGGUAUGAGGAAGAAAAUAGAUUUUGGAAGUUAUGAGAAAUGUAGAGAGUGAGUUGAGCAUAGUUUGAUUUUUAGGACCUCUAAAAGUAUUAAAGCAGCGGCAGCCGCUGCCCACAGACAUGAGGGCUAGGCUAAAACAGUAAGGUCAAGUUGUCUGGACAGAAAGGCUACAGGGUGCGGUCCUGGCUCUUGUGUAAGAAUUCUGACCACACUAACCAUGCCUAGGAAGGAAAGGAGUUGUUGUUUUGUAAGGGAUUGAGGUUUGGGAGAUUAAUCGGACACGAUCAGCAGGGAGAGCACGUGUGUUUUUAUGAAAAUUAUGCCAAGAUAGGUAACAGACGAGGAUGAAAUUUGGGCUUGACUGAAGUAAUGGGGGCUGCCUGUGAAGCCUUGCGGCAGUACAGCCCAGGUAAUUUCCUGAGCCUAAUGGGUGUCAGGGUCAGUCUAAGCGAAAGCGAAGAGAGGCUGGGAUGAAGGGUACAAAGGAAUAGUAAAGAAAGCACGUUUGAGAUCCAGAACAGAAUAAUGGGUUGUAGAGGGAGGCAUUGAGGAGAGUAUAUAGGUUUGGCACCACGGGGUGGAUAGGCAAAACAAUUUGGUUGAUAAGGCGCAGAUUCUGAACUAACCUGUAAGCCUUGUCUGGUUUUAGGACAGGUAAAAUGGGGGAAUGGUAAGGAGCGUUUAUAGGCUUUAAAAGGCCAUGCUGUAGCAGGCGAGUGAUAACAGGCUUUAGUCCUUUCAAAGCAUGCUGUGGGAUGGGAUAUUGGCAUUGAGCGGGGUAAGAGUGAUGAGGUUUUAAUGGGAUGGUAAGGGGUGCAUGAUCGGUCGCUAAGGAGGGAGUAGAGGUGUCUUAUACUUGUGGGUUAAGGUGGGGAGAUACAAGGGGAGGAUGUGAAGGAGGCUUUGAGCUAGGGGAAAAGGUGGCAAUGAGGUGUGGCUGUAGCCCAGGAAUAGUCAGGGAAGCAGAUAAUUUAGUUAAAGUGUCUCGGCCUAAUAAGGGAACUGGGCAGGUGGGGAUAACUAAAAAGGAGUGCUUAAAAGAGUAUUGUCUAAGUUGGCACCAGAGUUGGGGAGUUUUAAGAGGUUUAGAAGCCUGGCCGUCAAUACCCACAACAGUUAUGGAGGCAAGGGAAACAGGCCCUUGAAAAUAAGGUAAUGUGGAGUGGGUAGCCUCCGUAUUGAUUAAGAAGGGGACGGACUUACCCUCCACUGUGAGAGUUACCUAAAGCUUGGCAUCUGUGAUGGUCUACAGGGCUUCUGAGGCAAUCAGGCAGCGUCAGUCUUCAGCCGCUAAGCCGAGAAGAUCUGGGAAGGAGUCAGUCAGAGAGCCUUGGGCCAGAGUUCCAGGGUCUCUGGGAGUGGCUGCCAGGACUGGCACAAAUGACAUCUACCAGUCUGGGAAUUUUGACAUUCAGAUGUUCAUCCAUCCAUCUUCGGAAAUCUCCAAUGUCACAGAUUCUGAAGGAAACAGACAGCACAACAACAACAGCCUCUCUCAGUCCUCACCCAAAUCUUUCUUCUGAAAUUGGAUGCUGAUGGCCACCAAACACGUUUUUAAAAGACCAGUGCAGUUUGAAGAACAGGUCAGAAAGUCUGCCUUCGCUGAAAACUCAUUCGCUGGGAGUUGCAAUGAGCAGAUAGGACACACCCAGAAUUCGCCUGAAGGGGAGGGCUGCAGCCAGGGCGGAGACCAGAUGUGUGGGCACAAAGAUGUAGGCGAAUAACAUGAACAUUGCUUCAUCUUUGUUCCACAAGUUUCUGAGACAGCACCGGUAGGUAUGGGUCUCCCUCCCACUGGGCUGUGGCCGCAAAGCGAGCAUCUUUCUCCUGGGCGCCCCAUGCCUCCUCCAGCACCUGGCAUGUAGUAUAAGCUCAAUGAGUGUUCAUUGUAUGAACGAGUGAGUCAAUGGCUGAGCAUUCGUGAGGCUGGAAAAUUUAAUCUUCCCGAUUUAGUCUGAUAAAUGGAUUCCAUUUUAUGCUCGGAGAGCAAGGGCCUCAAAAGGUGUAACCAAGAGCAGAGGUCAGCAAACUGCAGCCUUUGAACGAAAUCCGGCCCAGAAGUGAAAACAUUUUUAGAUGAACAUUGGCAAUGGAUUUGCUGAUACAGAACACUAACUUUAAAUUCCAACCAAGCAGAAUGUUAGCACCUCCAAAAAUGAUUCCAUUCUUCUCAUUAUUAAACCUAUACUACAAAAAAACUGCCUUCGAUUAUUAUUAUUACAUUUUGAGUUUCAUCAAUUACAUAAUUGUGGAAAUUUUUAUUUUACUAUAUAAGUAGCUACAUAAUAUGCCAAAUUUGCUUCUUGGCCUGUAAAACCUAAGAUAUUUGCCAUCUGGCCCUUUACAGAAAAAGUUUGCUGACCCCUGGCCACAAGAAUAAAGUUUAGAACGGGAUGUGAUAUGUUUCAUCUUGCCUUACACCCCAGGAGUGGGAGAAAACCAAAUUGGCAGCAGGGUGGGCAGAGAUGACAUCCAUAUAUAAAUGGACUGUGGAACACCUUGUUAUGAAGGAAGGCCUGUCAGCAGUCAAAGAAUGGCUUGGGUGGGUAUACCUAGAUGGACCUCUAAAGAUCACACCCUAAGGGAAUUCAAGACCUGGUGCAUGGUUUGAGAGGUGAUUCCUGUGACAUCAGAGAGUGCAGCCUGGGCCUUCAUGGGCAAACCAAAAACAUUUGUGAUUGUAAACCCAAAGGCCUCGGCUGGCCGCAUCCAAGUCUCUUGGUUUCCCUCCAAACAUUUGCUUGGAAAUAAAGUAAAGAAAGUAAGUAAGAAUGGAUCGAGUGCAGUGGCUCACACCUGUAAUUCCAGCACUUUGUAGAGGCCGAGGCAGGAGGAUCACUUGUGCUCAGGGGUUUGAGACCAACCCG
rnacentral:lncRNA from 10 species